AGUGGUUUUCGGGUGACGCACCCCAGAAUCGGGCUCCCUCUCUUUGGUUCUGGGUGUGUCACCCAAGAACCACC
rfam:Myotis lucifugus cont2.5559, whole genome shotgun sequence.